CCCGCGCCAGCCCUCCCGGGGGAGCUGGAGCCCGGGUCGUGCGGUUCCCCACCCGGGGCCACCCGGACGCCCACCCCCACGCCCACCGGCCUCCUCACCUUCGGGACCUGAGGGAGCGACGGGCCAGCGGAGCCCUGAGUCCUGGCCGGGCUGGGUGGGGGGAGGCGCUGUUCUUCCCCGCGCUAGCUGCGCCCGGGGUUCCGCAGCACCCGCCCGGGCUGUGGCGCCAUCAGCUACUGCGAGGCUGCGGGGCGGUCGGGCCGGGGCUCCGGGGGGCUCCCGGGCGCCGAGGGGGGUCCGGGGCGGGCUCCAGGCGUAAACACCCAGCAACGUGACCGGAACUGGCGAACGAGCAUAUCAGGAUGGAUCCUGGAGGGACUUCCCUGGUGGCACAGUGGUUAAGAAUCUGCCUUCUGGACUUCCCUGGUGGCACAGUAGUUAAGAAUCCGCCUGCCAAUGCAGGGGACAUGGGUUCGAGCCCUGGUCCGGGAAGAUCCCACAGGCCGCGGAGCAACUAAGCCUGUGCACCACAACUACUGACCCUGUGCUCUAGAGCCCGCGAGCCACAGCUACUGAGCCUGUGUGACAGAACUACCGAAGCCCGCGUGCCUAGAGCCUGUGCUCCACAACAAGAGAAGCCACCACAAUGAGCAGCCCGCACACCGCAACAAAGAGUGGCCCCCGCUCGCCACAACUAGAGAAAGCCCGUGCACAGCAACAAUGAAGACCCAAUGCAGCCAAAAAUAAAUUAAAAAAAAAAAAAAAAAAAGAA